UACGUAGGGGGCUAGCGUUGUCCGGAAUCAUUGGGCGUAAAGAGCGCGUAGGCGGCCAGACAAGUCCGGUGUGAAAGUCACAGGCUCAACCUGUGAAUGCCGCUGGAAACUUUCUGGCUAGAGUCCGGAAGGGGCGAGUGGAAUUCCUGGUGUAGCGGUGAAAUGCGCAGAUAUCAGGAGGAACACCCUAGUGGCGAAGGCAGGCUUCUGGGACGGUACUGACGCUG
rnacentral:rRNA from 1 species